AGAACGAACGCUGGCGGCAUGCCUAACACAUGCAAGUCGAACGCUUGCCGAGGCUUCGGUUUCGGCAGGAGUGGCGCACGGGUGAGUAGCGCGUGGGAACCUGCCUUGGAGUGGGGGACAACCGAGGGAAACUUCGGCUAAUACCGCAUACGCCGGUUGUCUUGCAAGAGAUGGCCGGGAAAGAUUUAUCGCUCCGAGAGGGGCCCGCGUCGGAUUAGGUAGUUGGCGGGGUAACGGCCCACCAAGCCUGUGAUCCGUAGCUGGUCUGAGAGGAUGAUCAGCCACACUGGGACUGAGACACGGCCCAGACUCCUACGGGAGGCAGCAGUGGGGAAUAUUGGACAAUGGGCGCAAGCCUGAUCCAGCAAUGCCGCGUGAGUGAUGAAGGCCUUCGGGUUGUAAAGCUCUUUCGCCCGCGACGAUGAUGACGGUAGCGGGAGAAGAAGCCCCGGCUAACUUCGUGCCAGCAGCCGC
rnacentral:rRNA from 1 species